rnacentral:lncRNA from 1 species
AAAGCUUGCCUGAACAUCAAGAUGGCGCCUGGCUGGAUGCCAGGGAGACCAAGCUUAGCUGUAAACAAGCCUUAUUUGGAAGCCCUUAGUGGAUCUGGUGUGCCUCCUCCAGCUGUGACCUAUCCGGGAUCACCAGAGAAUGGACUCUUGCCCCUGAUGGCCCCAAGCUCUGGAUCUGAAUGGUAGACUUUUCAUCCUUGGAAUCAGCUGGAGUCACCGGCAACUUCAUGCCCAGCACAUGGAUUUUCUCUCCUCUCCUCCAAGCUCCAGCUGGCUGUAUUCUCCAUGUGGCUCUGGCUCUUGAAGGUUGUGCUCCUUCCUGGCUUUCUCUGCCUUUUGAUUGAACUGCAGACCUACUGUGCUCUCUC